rnacentral:rRNA from 1 species
UACGGGGGGGGUAAGCGUUGUUCGGAAUUACUGGGCGUAAAGGGCUCGUAGGCGGCCAACUAAGUCGGACGUGAAAUCCCUCAGCUUAACUGGGGAACUGCGUCCGAUACUGGAUGGCUUGGAUUUGGGAGAGGGAUGCGGAAUUCCAGGUGUAGCGGUGAAAUGCGUAGAGAUCGGGAGGAACACCUGUGGCGAAGGCGGCCAGCUGGGCCGACCCUGACGCUGAGGCGCGAAGGCGGUGGGGAGCGAACAGG